CUCUCCUCGUGUCUUCUACAUAGUUAGCCAAGAAAGCUCAAGCUCAUGAGCUGUCAAUAUCCUAAGUCUAUACCAACUAAUCCUCAUGAUUAAAUGCCUAUAAUUCUUCUCAAAUUCAUGAUUCAUUACUGAUUUCUUUUCCAAGGAUUUAAACCCCAAAACUUAUAUCUUUUUCUCACGUCUGUUCUUUCCGUCUGUUUUCUGUAUCAUACAGUUGGUUUUUGUCAAUAAUUUCUGCGAUAACUUGCUGCUAUUCAACCAAGCUGUUGUUGCUCUUAUUCUGCUGUGGACCUUAAUUGCCCCUGUUCCGUGUUCUGUUCAUCUAAGUUCAAGUCUUCUUCAUCUCUUUGAUUGCAUGAAGAACCCUAUUCAAUUGUGAUGGAGGCAUAAUUUUCUAUGCCAAAUUUCUGUAAUUAAAUUUAUUUAUCAAAAUCAAAACCCAUUUAUGUAUAUUAUACUUAAUCGCUCUAAUUUUUACAAUGUAAAAUUGCAUGCUUAAACUGAAUAUUUUAAGUAGUCUUAUUAUUUAAAUUAGUUUGUUGAGUGGGUUUAAUUAGUAUCUCAUAAGUUGAGAUUAAAACCCAAAGUCGAGAUAAUUUCAAGAGUGAAAUUGAUCUUUGCGUUUUUUAAGGUGCAAAUUAGCUUAUCGACUGUGUAUGGAGUUCAGCUGCAAUAAGUUUUUUUUGAACGGUGCUGCAAUAAGUUUUGUACAAGUAUAUUAUAUUUGGUUUUUAUUCAGCUAAUAAUAUAUUAUGAUAUUAUAAAUCUCAACUAUUUUACCCCAUAAUUUCAUUAAGUUAUGAAGUAUAGUUUUCUAGAAAAAUGUUAAUUAGAUUAAGGAGUAAGGUGUACUAAUAGAGUUAGUAAAGUUAGCUUAUAAGGAUUUGUUGUAGUUUAUGAAAGGGUUGAGAAAGUAUUGCAAGUCAAUUUGUUUAUAAUGAUUGAGUAAUAAGAAUGAAUGAUAAUUGUUGUUAUUUUGUGAGGUGAUAUAUGGUUGGAGAACGGUUAUGGAGAUAUAUGAUUAGCUAGGACGGAGAUCAAAUCUAUGAUUCUUCGUGUAUCAAUUUGAAAGGUACACACAUGUUCUUCCACUUUCAAACUUGGAAUUUGUCAUUCAUAUAAUUAUAUGGAUUUUACGGGUUGAGUUCAACAUGCUUUUAUAUCUUAUAAAAGUAAAUUGUUUUACAAUGAGAUUUUCGAUUUACGAACCUAUGAAGUACGAAUUUGAUAUCUUUUAUGAACACGAUUAAACUACAUUUGUAUUCAAAUUUUGAGUAAACAAAGGGAUUUCGGUCAAAGCAUGUUUGACUUAUGAUUCUAAUGUAUAACAAGAGAUUAAUGAUUUGCGAUAUGAGUUUUAUAUAGAAAUUAUGAUAUAUAUGAAUAAAAGUGUAUCUAUGGUACGAGAUUUUGAUUAUAUAUAGCCAAUUAAAGUAAACUAUGACUUUGAGUUAUGAGAAAAUAUGAAUUUGUUAAAUUAUUAAUUAUGAUGGGGAAGAAAUUACAGCAGCAGUGAUGAACACAUUGUGGUAUGUGUGUAUUCUGAAAUGAUGGGACAUAUGUCCUAGAAACAAGUCUUCCAAGCAGUACAAGAUUGGUGGGGGAGACGUCCCCAUGAGUUUAGAGAUGGUUGCAAAGUCCCUUCUCUAUUCGUAUUCUCUUCCCCAGAUUAUUUAAUUUUCUACCGAGGAAAUGGAAAGUUUCUAAAGGAUUUCGUAGUUGGAGGAUGACAUUGACGCGAUGACGCGAUGACUCGAUGACGUAAUACCAUCUGACGUAAUGACAAAGUAGAUGCAACCCGAAGACACAGAGAAGGAUGCAAGAUUGAGAGUAGUGCAUUGAAUGGUUACGGUCCAGCCAAAUAAGGCAAGAGCAUUAUAAGCCAUAAAUUCAGCUGUUAAAAGGGACAACAUUAAGACGCUGGAGCGUGAGCAUAGAAGAUUCCCCAUGAUUCAAGCGUGAAGAUUAAUGUAAUAAUUAGUGAAUUUAUUUUUGUAUUCUGGGGAAAAAGCCAAGGAAAAAAGAAGGCAUAUAAAAGGGAGAGAGAGGUCAUUGACAUGUUUUUUACGCAAUAUUGUGAGAAAGACAUUAUAGUGAACUAAGCAUUCUUGUAAACGACGAUCAGUCACGAAGAAAGAUAGUGAACUAUAUUAGUUUGGUGGAUCUCCAACCACCCGCGG